rnacentral:rRNA from 1 species
CCUACGGGAGGCAGCAGUGAGGAAUAUUGGUCAAUGGGAGAGAUCCUGAACCAGCCAAGCCGCGUGAGGGAAGACGGCCCUAUGGGUUGUAAACCUCUUUUGUCGGAGAACAAAACCCGGGACGUGUCCCGGACUGCGUGUAUCCGAAGAAAAAGCAUCGCCUAACUCCGUGCCAGCAGCCGCGGUAAUACGGAGGAUGCGAGCGUUAUCAGGAUUUAUUGGGUUUAAAGGGUGCGUAGGCGGUCUGUUAAGUCAACGGUAAUAUUGCGGGGCUCAAACCCGUCGAGCCGUGGAAACUGGCAGACUUGAGUUGGCGAGAAGUACGCGGAAUGCGCGGUGUAGCGGUGAAAUGCGUAGAUAU